AAGUCGUAACAAGGUUUCCGUAGGUGAACCUGCGGAAGGAUCAUUAAAAGAUUUUUGGUAUAAUUUUUUGGGGUUUUUAUAAACUCUAAAAAAUAAUUCACCAUUUUGUGCAUUGUUAUUAAGAUAUACUUUGGUUUGAGCUUUGACAUUAGUCAACUUCUUGCUUACUCUAUCCUUAUUUUAAUUUAAGGACAGUUGGCUAUGAAGUGUGCCUACCAAGGUUUUUUAUCAAACUCUUUGUAUUUUGUCUGACCUAAAUAAAUAAUAAUUAAAUCAUAACUUUCAACAACGGAUCUCUUGGCUCUC
rnacentral:misc_RNA from 1 species